CAGGGAUUCAGGAGUGCAGGGAUGCAGGGGUGCAGGGAUUACAGGGAUGCAGGGGUGCAGGGUUACAGGGAUGCAGGGGUGCAGGGAUUCAGGGGAUGCAGGGAUGCAGGAGUGCAGGGAUGCAGGGGUGCAGGGAUGCAGGGGUGCAGGGAUGCAGGGAUGCAGGGGUGCAGGGGUUACAGGGAUGCAGGGGUGCAGGAGUGCAGGGUUACAGGGAUGCAGGGGUGCAGGGAUUCAGGGGAUGCAGGGAUGCAGGGGUGCACGGAUACAGGGAUGCAGGGGUUGCAGGGAUGCAGUGGUUACAGGGAUGCAGGACUGCAGGGAUUCAGGGGAUGCAGGGGUGCAGGGGUGCAGGGGUUACAGGGAUGCAGGGGUUAAAUGGCUGCAGGGGUGCAGGAGUGCAGGGAUGCAGGGGUGCCGGGGUUACAGGGAUGCAGGGGUUAAAGGGAUGCAGGGGAUGCAGGGAUGCCAGGAGUGCAGGGGUGCAUGGGUUACAGGGAUGCAGGAAUGCAGGGAUGCAGGGGUUACAGGGAUGCAGGGAUGCAGAGGUUACAGGGAUGCAGGGGUUAAAGGGAUGCAGGGGAUGCAGGGAUGCCAGGAGUGCAGGGGUGCAUGGGUUACAGGGAUGCAGGAAUGCAGGGAUGCAGGGGUUACAGGGAUGCAGGGAUGCAGAGGUUACAGGGAUGCAGGGGUUAAAGGGAUGCAGGGGAUGCAGGGAUGCCAGGAGUGCAGGGGUGCAUGGGUUACAGGGAUGCAGGAAUGCAGGGAUGCAGGGGUUACAGGGAUGCAGGGAUGCAGAGGUUACAGGGAUGCAGGGGUUAAAGGGAUGCAGGACUGCAGGGAUUCAGGGGAUGCAGGGAUGCAGGAGUGCAGGGGGGGGGGGUGCAGGGAUGCAGGAGUGCAGGGGUGAAGGGGUGCAGGGGUGAAGGGGUUACAGGGAUGCAGGGGUUACAGGGAUGCAGGGGUGCAGGGGUGCAGGGUGCUGCUGUGCAUGCCUGUGACAGGCACAGCUGUGCCAGAGCCACCCCUCCCCACAGGACACUCUCUGAAGGAGCCCUGUCCCAGGCAGUGACAGCUGUGCCACGCAGGAGCCACUGCAGCCGUGAACAGCAGCAUUGAUGUGC
rnacentral:lncRNA from 12 species